AUGAACGCUGGCGGCGUGCCUAAUACAUGCACGUAGAACGCUGAAGGAAGGAGCUUGCUCUUUCCGGAUGAGUUGCGAACGGGUGAGUAACGCGUAGGUAACCUGCCUGGUAGCGGGGGAUAACUAUUGGAAACGAUAGCUAAUACCGCAUAACAGUAGAUGUUGCAUGAUAUCUACUUAAAAGGUGCAAUUGCACCACUACCAGAUGGACCUGCGUUGUAUUAGCUAGUUGGUGAGGUAACGGCUCACCAAGGCGACGAUACAUAGCCGACCUGAGAGGGUGAUCGGCCACACUGGGACUGAGACACGGCCCAGACUCCUACGGGAGGCAGCAGUAGGGAAUCUUCGGCAAUGGACGGAAGUCUGGCCGAGCAACGCCGCGUGAGUGAAGAAGGUUUUCGGAUCGUAAAGCUCUGUUGUAAGAGAAGAACGAGUGUGAGAGUGGAAAGUUCACACUGUGACGGUAUCUUACCAGAAAGGGACGGCUAACUACGUG
rnacentral:rRNA from 1 species